rnacentral:rRNA from 1 species
GAUGAACGCUGGCGGCGUGCCUAAUACAUGCAAGUCGAGCGAACGGACGAGAAGCUUGCUUCUCUGAUGUUAGCGGCGGACGGGUGAGUAACACGUGGAUAACCUACCUAUAAGACUGGGAUAACUUCGGGAAACCGGAGCUAAUACCGGACAAUAUUUUGAACCGCAUGGUUCAAAAGUGAAAGACGGUCUUGCUGUCACUUAUAGAUGGAUCCGCGCUGCAUUAGCUAGUUGGUAAGGUAACGGCUUACCAAGGCAACGAUGCAUAGCCGACCUGAGAGGGUGAUCGGCCACACUGGAACUGAGACACGGUCCAGACUCCUACGGGAGGCAGCAGUAGGGAAUCUUCCUCAAUGGGCGAAAGCCUGACGGAGCAACGCCGCGUGAGUGAUGAAGGUCUUCGGAUCGUAAAACUCUGUUAUUAGGGAAGAACAUAUGUGUAAGUAACUGUGCACAUCUUGACGGCACCUAAUCAGAAAGCCACGGCUAACUACGUG